AAUGAACGCUGGCGGCAGGCCUAACACAUGCAAGUCGAACGGGUCCUUCGGGACUAGUGGCGGACGGGUGAGUAACGCGUGGGAACGUGCCCCUUGGUACGGAAUAGCCCCGGGAAACUGGGAGUAAUACCGUAUGUGGUCGAGAGACGAAAGAUUUAUCGCCAAGGGAUCGGCCCGCGUUGGAUUAGGUAGUUGGUGGGGUAAUGGCCUACCAAGCCGACGAUCCAUAGCUGGUUUGAGAGGAUGAUCAGCCACACUGGGACUGAGACACGGCCCAGACUCCUACGGGAGGCAGCAGUGGGGAAUCUUAGACAAUGGGGAAACCCUGAUCUAGCCAUGCCGCGUGAUCGAUGAAGGCCUUAGGGUUGUAAAGAUCUUUCAGGUGGGAAGAUAAUGACUGUACCACCAGAAGAAGCCCCGGCUAACUCCGUG
rnacentral:rRNA from 1 species